AAUUGGUUCACAAUCAUUGUGAUGAAAAGGGAAUCGGGUGUGAAUCCCGAACAGUCCCGCUGCUGUAAUAUACCUUUUUUGUGUAAACAUUUUGUGCCACUGGACAAGAAGCGUGAAAAGUGAAACGUGAAGCGUGAAGAGUUUGGGAAGGCUGUUUGCACAGGGAUUAAGUCAGAAGACCUGCCAUUGUCGUUG
rnacentral:ncRNA from 1 species